ACAGCGGCCAUGCAGGACUCUGAGACUCUGCUCAAACUUCUCUGCUGUGUAGGUAUCAUGCAGCAAAUGACCUUAGUAAUGAGUGACCUGACUGGAGAUGACCCUGACUGUCCUGAUCACAAAUCCCACUGUAUCCAGAAGUCACAGGAAGAAGACAAGUCUGUUGCGACAACGGAUGUAGAAGAU